ACAGGAGGGCCCUGUGCAUAGUUGGUGCUCGAGACACGCUCGGUGAAGGAGUGAAUGAAGGAUUUAACCCCUCUGGGCCUAUUGUUCUCAUUUGGGAAAUGAGGAUAAUAGUAGCACUCGAUAUUAAUAUAUAUAACAACUAGUGUCAAAAUGCAGGCACGGGUCUUAACUACCCACGUGCCCUUUAUGUUCUUCCUGUUCGGUGAGAGCGUGGUUUCAGGAUGUGCAGCUGCUGACAAAGGGGACGGAUAAAGUCACCCCAGUUAUGGCCUCUCAGGGAUCAAGCUCCUCCCACCAGCUAAUUUUUCACCUUUAUCUGUCCCUAUUGGGCAGCACCCCCAGGGAGAGAUAGAGUACAAGCAGGAGGAGCGGCAGGGAGAGGGAGAAG